GAUGAACGCUGGCGGCGUGCCUAAUACAUGCAAGUCGAGCGAACAGACGAGGAGCUUGCUCCUCUGACGUUAGCGGCGGACGGGUGAGUAACACGUGGAUAACCUACCUAUAAGACUGGGAUAACUUCGGGAAACCGGAGCUAAUACCGGAUAAUAUAUUGAACCGCAUGGUUCAAUAGUGAAAGACGGUUUUGCUGUCACUUAUAGAUGGAUCCGCGCCGCAUUAGCUAGUUGGUAAGGUAACGGCUUACCAAGGCAACGAUGCGUAGCCGACCUGAGAGGGUGAGCGGCCACACUGGAACUGAGACACGGUCCAGACUCCUACGGGAGGCAGCAGUAGGGAAUCUGCCGCAAUGGGCGAAAGCCUGACGGAGCAACGCCGCGUGAGUGAUGAAGGUCUUCGGAUCGUAAAACUCUGCUAUUAGGGAAGAACAAAUGUGUAAGUAACUAUGCACGUCUUGACGGUACCUAAUCAGAAAGCCACGGCUAACUACGUG
rnacentral:rRNA from 1 species